rnacentral:rRNA from 1 species
UACAGAGGGUGCAAGCGUUAAUCGGAAUCACUGGGCGUAAAGGGUGCGUAGGUGGUUAUAUAAGUUUCAUGUGAAAUCCCUGGGCUUAACCUGGGAACUGCAUGGGAGACUGUAAGACUAGAGUAGAGUAGAGGUGAGUGGAAUUUCCGGUGUAGCGGUGAAAUGCGUAGAGAUCGGAAGGAACACCAGUGGCGAAGGCGGCUCACUGGACUCAUACUGACACUGAGGCACGAAAGCGUGGGGAGCAAACAGG